GAUGAACGCUGGCGGCGUGCCUAAUACAUGCAAGUCGAACGAAACUUCUUUAUCACCGAGUGCUUGCGCUCACCGAUACAGAGUUGAGUGGCGAACGGGUGAGUAACACGUGGGCAACCUGCCCAAAAGAGGGGGAUAACACUUGGAAACAGGUGCUAAUACCGCAUAACCAUAGUUACCGCAUGGUAACUAUGUAAAAGGUGGCUGUACUACCUCUUUUUGAUGGGCCGGGGGCGCAUUACCUAGUUGGUAGGGUAAAGGCUUACCAAGGCAAUGAUGCGUAGACGAAUUGAGUGGUUGAUCGGCCACAUUGGGACUGAGACACGGCCAAAACGCCUACGGGAGGCAGCAGUAGGGAAUCUUCCACAAUGGGCGAAAGCCUGAUGGAGCAACGCCGCGUGGGUGAAGAAGGUCUUCGGAUCGUAAAACCCUGUUGUUAGAGAAGAAAGUGCGUGAGAGUAACUGUUCACGUUUCGACGGUAUCUAACAAGAAAGCCACGGCUAACUACGUG
rnacentral:rRNA from 1 species